GGGAGAGGCAAAGAAGCAAUAGGGACUGCUAAUCCUCUAUGUCUUUGGUUAAAACCCAGAGCUCACUCG